rnacentral:rRNA from 1 species
GCAAGUCUGGUGCCAGCAGCCGCGGUAAUUCCAGCUCCAAUAGCGUAUAUUAAAGUUGUUGCAGUUAAAACGCUCGUAGUUGAACCUUUGGCCUGGCUGGCGGGUCCGCCUCACCCGUGCACUCGUCCGGCCGGGCCUUUUCUUCUGGAGAUCCGCAUGCCUUUCACUAGGUGUGUUGGGAACCAGGACUUUUAC